AGCAGUGUAGCCUAAUGGAAAGAGCAUCAACCUGGGAAUUAGGAGUCCUGGGUUCUAAUCCCAGCUCCGCCA
rnacentral:tRNA from 1 species